GUAGGUGGCAAGCGUUGUCCGGAAUUAUUGGGCGUAAAGCGCGCGCAGGCGGUCCUUUAAGUCUGAUGUGAAAGCCCACGGCUCAACCGUGGAGGGUCAUUGGAAACUGGGGGACUUGAGUACAGAAGAGGAAAGCGGAAUUCCAAGUGUAGCGGUGAAAUGCGUAGAGAUUUGGAGGAACACCAGUGGCGAAGGCGGCUUUCUGGUCUGUAACUGACGCUGAGGCGCGAAAGCGUGGGGAGCAAACAGGGAUUAGAUACCCCGGUAGUCCACGCCGUAAACGAUGAGUGCUAAGUGUUAGGGGGUUUCCCGCCCCCUUAGUGCUGCAGCUAACGCAUUAAGCACUCCGCCUGGGGAGUACGGCCGCAAGGCUG
rnacentral:rRNA from 1 species